rnacentral:rRNA from 1 species
GGUUGAUCCUGCCAGUAGUCAUAUGCUUGUCUAAAAGAUUAAACCAUGCAUGUCCAAGUAUAACUCACUUAUACGAGAAGACUGCGAAUAUCUCCUUAAAUCAGCAAUCGUUUAUUUGAUCGUAACUUGAGAAUUAUCUCUGUGUCGUUGGAUAACUGCGGUAAUUCUGGAGCUAAUACAUGCUAAAAAGGCCGGCGCUUCGCGGCGUCGGUCUGUAUUUAUUAGAUUUACAAAACCAACACAGUCGGUCGGGCAUUCCAAACAGCAGCAAUGCUGGUUCGGCCGGCGCCUC